rnacentral:lncRNA from 1 species
UUAAAUCACAAACUAUGAACUACAAAACCCAAAAGGAUUCACCAACUACUAGACCGAGGUCUUUAACGAACUUAUUCGUUUGAUUAAUUAACAUAUUAAUUAAUCCUUGCCAUAAAUAAAUGAUUAAACCAUUUAAUCAUUCUUACUCAUCUCCUUGGUUUCUUCAAUCUCCUCCUUACACGGUGUGCGAUCCAUUAGGUUCCUUUUAGCGAGGCAGUGGGCG